rnacentral:rRNA from 1 species
UUGGCUCUGCCUAACAAACUUUUUAUUUAAUCAUAAAGUUUGACCUCAAAUCAGGUAGGAUUACCCGCUGAACUUAAGCAUAUCAAUAAGCGGAGGAAAAGAAACCAACAGGGAUUGCCUUAGUAGCGGCGAGUGAAGCGGCAAGAGCUCAAAUUUGAAAUCUGGUACCUUCGGUGCCCGAGUUGUAAUUUGAAGAAAGCUAUCUUGGAUUUGGCCUUUGUCUAUGUUCCUUGGAACAGGACGUCACAGAGGGUGAGAAUCCCGUGCGAUGAGGUGUCCAUUUCUAUGUAAGAUGUUUUCGAAGAGUCGAGUUGUUUGGGAAUGCAGCUCUAAGUGGGUGGUAAAUUCCAUCUAAAGCUAAAUAUUGGCGAGAGACCGAUAGCGAACAAGUACAGUGAUGGAAAGAUGAAAAGAACUUUGAAAAGAGAGUGAAAAAGUACGUGAAAUUGUUGAAAGGGAAGGGUAUUAGAUCAGACUUGGUAUUUAGUUAUCAUUACUCCUUGUGGGUGGUGCUCUAGCUUUUUACUGGGCCAGCAUCAGUUUUGGUGACAGGAUAAUAGCAAUUGAAUGUGGCUCCUCGGAGUGUUAUAGCUUUUGUUGAUACUGUCUACUGGGACUGAGGUCUGCGGCUUGCCUAAGGAUGCC